rnacentral:lncRNA from 1 species
UGCCAGGCAGGAUCAGAGGCAGCUUGCUGGUAGGAAGAUGGUUCAGCAGAUGCCAUGAAGACUGAGCCAGUACAACAAGAGGAUAAAGAACUAGUGCCAGAAAGGGAAGGAGGUAAGUUGCAAACAUAUUGUUGAAGAUGAGCAGGAGGAACAUGUGGUCUGGAUGAUCUUCUAAUAAUUGGGGACACAUGGUCUGGUUGAGGAGAUGAAAUAGGAAUAGCAGGAGGGGAAUGGACUGAAGAAUCAUCAGGAGAAGAGGUUGGGGU